rnacentral:rRNA from 1 species
AUUGAACGCUGGCGGCAGGCCUAACACAUGCAAGUCGAGCGGAGCGGCGGACGGGUGAGUAAUGCCUAGGAAUCUGCCUGGGGGUGAGGGAUAACGUCCGGGAACGGACGCUAAUAUCGCAUACUAUCAGGUGACCCUCGGUCGGAUUAGCUAGUUGGAGGGGUAAAGGCCUACCAAGGCGACGAUCCGUAACUGGUCUGAGAGGAUGAUCAGUCACACUGGAACUGAGACACGGUCCAGACUCCUACGGGAGGCAGCAGUGGGGAAUAUUGGACAAUGGGCGAAAGCCUGAUCCAGCCAUGCCGCGUGUGUGAAGAAGGUCUUCGGGUUGUAAAGCACUUUCAGUUGGGAGGCGUUACCCGCAGAAGAAGCACCGGCUAACUUCGUGCCAGCAGCCGCGGUAAUUC